GACUUAUUUAAUUUUUGUGACUAAUUUCGUUCUGGUCUUCGUGACAUGAUCACCUUAUAGUCUAUGUGACUGACAUGGUCUAUGUGACCAUAUGGAUUGACUUGGACGAGUGGGAGAUGUGAGGUGUUACUGUUGACGAAGGGUUCCCCUUUGUUACUCUCCUUUUGCUGCAAACGCCAAGGAGACGAAGGGGUGUCCUUUCUCCUUCGUCUUCCUUAGCCUUCUUAUAAGAGGCGUCCAAGGCAAUCAGAAAAGGGACAACGGUGAAGCGGAGGUGAUCAACGAGAGAACACUGCCAAGUUGUGAGGAGAUUUGCUCGAGCAAAAGAGAACGUCCAGAGGCCGGGAUUUGGUUUGUGAAAGAGUUUGAGAAGGUUCCGUGAGGUGAUCUUCUCGGCAACAGCAGCAGCGACGUCUCCGGCGGUUCUUCGACGAUUUCUUCGACGAUUUCUUCGAAAGAUCAAUGAGGAAACUAUAACCCGACACCAACCUCCAAGCCGGCACCAGCGUAUAAGCCACCAUCCGGAGGAUACUAUAAUCCACUGACACCAACCUACAAGCCAACGCAUAAGUACAAGGCACCAUCGAGAGGAUAUUAUACUCCACGGACACCAACGUACAAGCCGGCGCCAACUUAUAAACCGCCUUCAGGAGGGUAUUAUAACCAGCCGGCGGCACCAACGUACAAGCCAAUUCCAAUGCCGUACUACAAGCACCCAAUAUUUAAGCAUCCAAUAUUUGACAACCCACACAUCUAUAAGAAGCUCCCAAUUUGGCCUCCACAUUCCAACUGACCCGGUCAUCCGCACACCGAGGUGAAUCAGAAGCCAUAGAAGAAUUAAGAUGAAGAGGUUUAUAUAUAUGUAUAUAUAUAAAAGCACUUGAUUGCUUAGUUAAUUAUUCAACUGAGCACUGUUGUGUAUGAUGGUUAUCAGCAAAUGUCAUAAUUAAAACUUAA